rnacentral:rRNA from 1 species
AUUGAACGCUAGCGGGAUGCUUUACACAUGAAAGUCGAACGAGUGGCGGACGGGUGAGUAAUAUAUCGGAACGUGCCCAGUCGCGGGGGAUAAAUACUCGAAAGAGUGGCUAAUACAGAAUACUAUUGGAGCGGCCGAUAGCAGAUUAGCGAGUUGGUGGGGUAAAGGCUCAACAAGGCAACGAUCCGUAGCUGGUGUGAGAGGACGACCAGCCACAAGGGGACUGAUACACGGCCCAGACUCCUACGGGAGGCAGCAGUGGGGAAUUGUGGACAAUGGGGGAAACCCUGAUCCAGCCAUCCCGCGUGUAUGAGAAGGCCUGCGGGUUGUAAAGUACUUUUGGCAGAGAAGCGGUCUCUGCAGAAUAAGCACCGGCUAACUACGUGCCAGCAGCCGCGGUAAUUC